GGCACGGCGCGCGGGGCCCCGGGCAGCUCUCGGUGCCCGCAGGGCCGCGCCCUGCCGCCGUUCUUGGCGCGCGUAUGUUAGGACGGGCGCAUCCUCGGAGGGAGGCGGCCGGCCCCCCGCAGCCACGGCGGUCUAGAGAAUUCCAGAGUCCCAAAUUCCAAAUGACCAAUGAUCUGGACAUUGACUACGCCAAGAUGUCAGAGGUCUCACUCCUGACCCCACCCCCUGCUCAGCAUCGUGACCCAGGACACUGCCAGUUAAAGGAACUGUACUCCCUCCCUGGGUCUUGAUGAGAGUCAAGCCUUUCUUUGACUUCCAGAUUCAGCUGUCUCGUUGAAGCUGAGCUGGUUAAGACCGCAUGGGACCCCGACCCUUCUACGGGGCCUGCUCCAGCGUCCGCUCAGUGACCUUUUGAAUCUGCAGAGGCGGACAGCUUAGUUACGGCUGCACAGAACUGCGAUUAUCACACCUUUUUCCAAUCACCUUUCCCCACGCUGUAUUCUUUAGCCAGUAAAUACCCCGAGGCUUUCGGGAGGCGGAUUUGAGAUUUGGUCUGCCGUCUUCACGCUUGGCUGCCUGGCGAGUAAACGAAUAAACGGUCUCCUGCUGCAAACCUCCCGUCUCAGCGUUUUGGCUUGCUGGCAGACGGCAAAACGGACCUGGUUCCGUAACACUGUUUCAUAAGUGUUCCAUGGGUGUUUGAAAAGAUCGUGUAUUCGCUACUUGUUCAUUCAGGGUUUAAUAAUAGCUCAUCAAGCUUGUGAAGUGUUAAAUCCUUGUCAAAUCCUCAUAAUUUGACUAGAUUUUCAUCUGCUAUUAAGUACGGUGAAAUCACCCACUGUAGUGCUGCAUUUGUCAAGUUCCUCUUUUAAUUCUGUCAUCUUUCAGUUGACACGUUUCAGUGUUAUGUUAGUAGGUGCAUA